UUGGUAGAGCAUCAGACUUUUAAUCUGAGGGUCGUGGGUUCGAGUCCCACGGAGGGCG
rnacentral:tRNA from 1 species